rfam:Strigamia maritima strain Brora ctg7180001233881, whole genome shotgun sequence.
GUCAGGAUGGCCGAGCGGUCUAAGGCGCCAGACUCAAGUAUACUUGCCAAUCUAAUUGGUUGUGUGAUUUCUGGUUCACGAAUGUGGGCGUGGGUUCAAAUCCCACUUCUGACA